AGUCACUGACAUUAGAUACCCGGGUAGUCCCAGCCGUAAACUAUGCUCACUAGGUGUCAGGCACGGCGCGACCGUGUCUGGUGCCGCAGGGAAGCCGUGAAGCGAGCCACCUGGGAAGUACGGCCGCAAGGAUGAAACUUAAAGGAAUUGGCGGGGGAGCACCGCAACGGGAGGAGCGUGCGGUUUAAUUGGAUUCAACACCGUAAAACUCACCAGGGAAGACUGUUACAUGAAGGCCGAGAUGAAGACUCUGCUAGAUUUUUCAG
rnacentral:rRNA from 1 species